CAGCAUAUUGGAUCAACAUGGCUUUAGGCCGAAUAUCUAUCGGUUACAGAGGCGAUCUCGAAUCGGAAUUGCGCUUUCACUGCCCCGGUCCAAAAACAGUUCCCGUAUAUGCAAACCACCAUCCAUUUCGGUAAGUUCCACUCAUCUGCCUCCUUUCCACAUACACCACACGAAAGUGGUGACGUGGUUUUUUUUUUUUUAAACGCCCUAAAUACCCAAAGUCUGUGAAAUGUGGGUAUUUCGAAUUUUUUCCCCUCCGCCAGCCUUCACGUCCGCCACCGUUUGGACCACCGACGAGAACAACCGACCUACUGCAUUCAGCUCGCAUCCACGUUUAGCUCACGUCCACUUUCAAUUCACACAGACUUGAAGGAAAAUAUUUGAUGAGGAACAAGUUGGUGAGGCCCCGAACCCCCAAGUUGGUGCUAACGUUAAAGAUGUUGUUGGAACCCAAUGUAGUACUGUCACACAACAAAUACCAUCGGGCAAUGAUAAGAUGUGAAAUUGUGGUUGAAAAUCAUUAUUCUAUUUUUGAUGGAUUUCUUGAAGUAUUUUGUGAAAAUCUGGAGACUUUCUUUUGGAGGUUGUGGUUGUAAAGAAUGUACAGAUUUCUGGGUGUUCUACUUGUAUGAAAAUUAUUAUUCUAUUUUUUAUGGCUUUCUUGAAGUAUUUUGUGAAAAUCUGGGGGCUUUCUUUUGGAGGUUGUGGUUGUAAAGAAUGUAUAGAUUUGUGGGUGUUCUACUUGUAUGACACAUCCUUGAUUGUCACCAACUAGUUUUGCUUAAUUAGUAUAUCGGGGUCGGGUGGGGUUUGGGUAGGUUUAGGUAUUAUAAGUCUUCCUUGAUGAGAUUGGUAUUUUCUGUCCUCGUAUUAUAUUAAAAAGUGAAGGGGAAUUUUCUUAUCAAAUUAAAGUUUCUUUGUGUCAUCUCUGCUGCUGUACUCCAUUUAAGCAAACUGAAUAAUAGUGACAUUAUAACGUGUUUCAAUGAUUAAUCUCUAUUAAUUUCUUUCUGUGGCAUUUUUAACAGGGUCACAGCAAGAGCAUCGAACCGAUAUGUUUUGUUGAUGAAUCAUAGUUGCUGUAAUUUUGUUUUGAUGUGAGCAUCUUUGUAACUGACAAAUUUUGAAUGAGUGAAACUAAUUUACAGUGUAGCUGA